GACGAACGCUGGCGGCGUGCCUAAUACAUGCAAGUCGACCUUAGUGGCGGACGGGUGAGUAACACGUGGGAACCUACCCAUCAGAGGGGGAUAACGUCCGGAAACGGGCGCUAAUACCGCAUACUAUCAGAUGAGCCUAGGUCGGAUUAGCUAGUUGGUGGGGUAAAGGCCUACCAAGGGGACGAUCCGUAACUGGUCUGAGAGGAUGAUCAGUCACACUGGAACUGAGACACGGUCCAGACUCCUACGGGAGGCAGCAGUGGGGAAUAUUGGACAAUGGGCGCAAGCCUGAUGCAGCCAUGCCGCGUGUGUGAAGAAGGCCUUCGGGUUGUAAAGCACUUUCAGCGGGGAGGCGUUACCCGCAGAAGAAGCACCGGCUAACUCCGUGCCAGCAGCCGCGGUAAUAC
rnacentral:rRNA from 1 species